UACGGAGGAGGCAAGCGUUAUCCGGAAUUAUUGGGCGUAAAGCGUCCGCAGGUGGCAGUUCAAGUCUGCUGUCAAAGACCGGGGCUUAACUUCGGAAAGGCAGUGGAAACUGAACAGCUAGAGUAUGGUAGGGGCAGAGGGAAUUCCUGGUGUAGCGGUGAAAUGCGUAGAGAUCAGGAAGAACAUCGGUGGUGAAGGCGCUCUGCUGGACCAUAACUGACACUCAGGGACGAAAGCUAGGGGAGCGAAUGGG
rnacentral:rRNA from 1 species